GUUCAGCCUUGAUAUAAAUCAUGUUCACUUUGUAUAUGUUGCUGUUGCUGGCCACAGUGUCUGGUAUUGACUCUCAGGUUGUGCUCACACAGUCUGAACAGUCAGUAGUUGUGGCUCCAGGUGGUUCCCACAAACUGACCUGUGCAUGUAGUGGAUUCACUCUUAGUAGCACUAACAUGUAUUGGAUCCGUCAGGCACCUGGAAAAGGACUAGAAUGGAUUAUUUACUAUUAUUCAGAUUCUUCUAAGAGCUCAGCUCAGUCAGUCCAGGGCAGGUUCACAGCAACUAAGGACAGCUCUAAUUUCUAUCUGCACAUGAAUCAGCUGAAGACUGAAGACACUGCAGUGUAUUACUGUGCAAGAAGCACUGUGGAAACACUAAUACAGACAGCUGCUCAAAAACUCAUGAGAAAGGUGGACAUGGUUGAGUUACACUGAAAAAAGGCAAGAGCCUCUGAAGUGACAGAACUCCUGUCUGAAGUGUUUUGAAUGUAUUAAAUACAAAAACAUGUUAAUAUUAAAAUGAUUCCUCAUUUCGAAUCAUAUUUGCUUCUCAGUAAAUUAUGAGAGUCUGUUUCAGACAGAAUGCAUGUCUGUUUCCCACAGUAUGUCUGAAAUAUCUGUUCAGUCUAGCCUACAUUUUCUUAUAUUAAUAAUGGACUGGAUUAUUUUUUUUUUCUAAUUACCUUUCUACCACUAAAACUUAAUUAUCUUUAAUAAUACAGUAUGAUACAGUAUGAUUUUUUAAAUAACAAACCAAACAUGCACCAUUAUUCACCUAUAAAUGAUUCUUUGAAUGUUUCUUGAUAAGCAGCAAAUCCAGCCUCCAAGGCAGAUAAAUGUGGACCAACCAGAACCAGCUGGUUCUAAAACUAGUUUGAUACAGCAUGCAUACAGUUCAGCAUAGCAGGCCCAGUGGCACACAACCUAAUCCACAAGACAAAAUAACAUCUAAAUUGAUAUAACACCACAUUAAAAAAGUUUAAGAACACUGUAAAAAAAAAGAAAAGAAAAAAAGGUGCACAAUACUGUAUAAAUAUGAAGGGAUUUCCCGUAUUGUUUUACCUGUAUUUUGAAUUACACAUUGCUUAAGGGUUAAUGGACAUUUCAGUAAAAUUACUGGAUAAUGUCCUGGGAGAAAAUUAGCAGUAUAUUUCAUUGUAUGCUUAAGUUGAUUCUUAAUUCUGUGUUAUUUCCUGGCUGUCCUGCACAUUCUUUGGUUAUUAAGAAUAAAAAUUACAACCUUUGAACUGGACGAUUUUUGUGUAAAUCCAAUUAUUAUUUUGUCGUUUGGACACUAUGUAAACAUCUGUUAUGUGAAUAAGCUUUACCAGGGCAGAACUAAA